rnacentral:rRNA from 1 species
GGGUAAACGGGAGAAAUCCUGAAUUCGAAAGGGGCCCUGGAUUCAACGCGAUCCUGCCAAAGAGUGCUUCGACUCUUGCCAGAUGGCGCCGGGCGCCCGCGGCGAUUCACUUCGCUCGCGGUGUCGUCGCAGGCGUUCACUCGGCGGGUUGUUCGUCACAAGCUGGGACGUGUGCACUUCCACCCUAGUAGAAACGUCGCGACCCGCUGGGUGCCGGCCUCAAGGCCCGGGAUGGCAGACCGCGCGUCCCGCCGGAGUUUCCAGAUUCCACCGCGGGCGCGAGGACUCCCGGUGACCCGGCCGGCUGCCCGGCGGUACAACCAGAGGAGUCGAUCCGCUAAAUGAAUGAAACACUGUGGUAUUGUGAAGCGUCCGGCCCGGCGCCGACGCGUGCGGGGGAAAAACGAAAACGAAGGGAGUUGCAAAAUGACCGGGGGGAAACCCGUGCCCGGCACGGUCCCGGCCCCGCCGCGCGUUCGGUCGCCGGAACAUCUCGGACUGGAUCGAAACUCCCGUCCGCGACGACCACCUUCGGAUGG